UGUUAAGAAUGAUCGACGGUGUGGUAUGCUUACUUAGAGGAUUAUUCGCGGGACUAACACGUCCAUUCUAUAUUUUUAUGGCAACCAAUACCAAAUUCCUUUUCUUUGUUUCAUGUUUAAUGAAUAACAUUGAGGCCAGAGAAGCAGAGUCUUCUAAAAACCAAAAGUUGCGCGCACUUCGUUAUAGUUAUGUUCAAACACUUUUCUACUCAUAUGUAGUUAAUCUUGGUGGAAGUUUUUUGCUAGCUCUAUAUUUGGGUGACGGGAACUGCAAAAGUAUCUUUUCGUUAGAGGCUCUUUUAUUUCCUUUAAUAACCUGGUUUUUUGCCAGCAGACUAAAUUUUUUUUUCAAGUAUUACUUGUCAAAUGAUUUUUUGCAGGUUAACAGUCUUUAUGUUAUACCUACACUUUUUUUUACCUGCCACAUGUACGGUACGAUAGGGCUUCCAGACUGUACUAAAAUGCACAACUAUUUGAGAGAUUUAAGUUGUUUUGAAUAACAUAGAUAACUAAAAUUACUUAUGGUAGGAUUUUCGAUGGGGCUAAUUAAAUUUUAGAAGUUGUGCGUUUUAGUUCAGUUCGGAUAGUCCUACCCUGCCGUGCUUUUGCUAUUUAACGCAGAUUAUCUUAAAAGCCUUUUAUGAACUUCGACGCGUGGACAGACUUAUUUAUGGCGGAAAAGAAGCAGCUUUGCGGGGUCCACUGCGUUUUGCAACCAUUAAUGCUAUUGUUGGCUCCUUUUUGCAUGCGUAUGGUGGCACUAUACUAGCAGUUACCCUGCUGCGUGUCUUUAGACGUCGAAGUUUUUAUCUUUACGACUUUAAAAGAACGUUUGGCGGUUAUCAAUCCUUUUUUGGUUUAAAGUGGUUUCCUUUAAUUAUCAACGUGUUUGUUUUGGGCUGCCUCGCCGUCUGGACUUAUAUGGCAACUAGCCCAGUCUUAAGUUAUUUUAUCACACCCGAUGAUGCUUUCAGUGUUCGUUUCGUCGUCCCUCAGUUGUACGCGUUUUUAGGCAUUUCGUGCGUUGACUAUAAAAAAAUUUCCGUGCUGGCUCUGCUUUGGAAUUCUUUUGAGCAAAAAAGAUUAGAAUUAAAAGUGAGAGAUACUACGAAGGUUGAUUAAUCCUAUUUGUCUAUCCAAAGAAACUACCUU